rnacentral:ncRNA from 1 species
CAGAGUAGGAGAUCGCGCGUCAGGCCGCAAAGGCGGCCGCAGUGCCCACCGGACGGGGAGUUGUCGGCGGGACGAAGAGGGAGGGGGGUUCACCUCUCCACGCGGUGCGGUCUCCGCAUCCCGCUG